rnacentral:lncRNA from 1 species
CUUCACCCCUCAUCUCAGGCAGCAUCGCGAAGGCAGCUGCAGAAGUGUUUAGAGAAAACAGACGGGCCAAGAAAUGAAAGGUGCCGGGAUCACUGUCACUGAAUCCAGGUGUCUGGGAAGUGGAAGUAGAAGCUCUCUUUGCUCAUUUUAUUUUGUAGAAAAACAAAAUUUUAAUGUUUCUGUCAAAUUACUUUCAUUUACUCUAAAUAGCAAUGUGUCACAUCAACCCUGGGGGGAAAAUUCUGCUGUUAUGAAACAAUGUAACUGUACAUAAUGCAUGUCAAAUAAAUAUCUAAUGGUUC